UACGUAGGGUCCGAGCGUUGUCCGGAAUUACUGGGCGUAAAGAGCUCGUAGGUGGUUUGUCGCGUUGUUCGUGAAAACUCACAGCUCAACUGUGGGCGUGCGGGCGAUACGGGCAGACUAGAGUACUGCAGGGGAGACUGGAAUUCCUGGUGGAGCGGUGGAAUGCGCAGAUAUCAGGAGGAACACCGGUGGCGAAGGCGGGUCUCUGGGCAGUAACUGACGCUGAGGAGCGAAAGCGUGGGGAGCGAACAGG
rnacentral:rRNA from 1 species